ensembl:lncRNA
AACUCAGAUAUUCACUCAGCUGCUGAAGUUGCUGUGAGGUGAUGUACUCGCACCGGUCUGAGUACAGUGACAGGCGGCCACACAAUGACAACAGUACAAGGAAGUGGGAUGUCUAUGAUGAUAGAGUGGAAGGAAGUGAUAGGAAUUACAGAGAUGAUAGGAAUUCCUAUCAUAGAUAUGAGGGAGAUGGACACAGCAGGGCCGAGAGGGUAAGCAGAAGUCGAGAGUACAGUGAUUCACCUAACAGGAUGUACAGCAAAGAUUCACUGAACAGAGAGUGGAGCAGAAAAAGCCCAGUAAAGAGACGCAACACUUCUCCCCACUGGAGGUCCUCUGAGACCAAAAGGCGAAGGUCUGACAAAAAGUAUGACGAGGAUUAUAGACACAGGCAAGAUCAUGAGGAUAAAACAUACAGGCAGUCACCAGAAGGAUUCUCUCAUAUAAAUGUAUCCAAGGAUUUCAAACAUACACCACCACAUAAAGAAGAUGCGAGAUAUAAGAAUACCUAUAAAGAUUCCAGAUACCGGCCUCUCGAUGAGGAGCUCAUGUACAAGAAACAGCAUGAUAGUUACAGACCGUUGUCCCCCCAUUACAAAGAGAGAGGUCAAUAUGAGAGGAGCUGGGACUGUUCACAAGGAAGGACAUGGUCACAAGAUCACUCUAAAGAGAGUCAUGUCAAAUCCAGAGAGAGGAAUGAUAGCACUUACGGUGAUUAUGAAAACCAGUGUGAUAACAGAACAAGGUUUCGUUCAAAUGGGUCAAUUGAACAGUAUUCAACCAGCACUGAAACGAACCGACAAAGUCCUACUGUUCCUGGGCAGAAACCAGCCAAGGGUUUCCAGCGUUUCCUCGAUGUGCUCAACAAGGGCGUUAACGUUGCCACGCUCACCAAGAUCGUGACUCAAACCUCAGCCGACGCCACUGAUCGACCUUGUUCUCCAGUGUCUUUCACAAGCCGUGCUGAAGGUCUGCAGCCUCCUGUUUAUGCUGGGAGGCAACAAGGAAGUCAACAAAGUAACUGCCACUGGACUGAGCGCAGGGAAACCCAGAGGCUGGCGUCUCCACAGGCCCACAUGUCCUUCAACAGACAGAUGAGUCCUUAUUGUGAACAAAGGCGUGAGGGAGGACAAAGCUACCUGACUCCAUUAGUGGUGGAGAGUAUAACCCUGGAACCUGAAGAUGAGCACAGGCAGAGACAGAUGCAGGGUGUUUUGCAGGCCAUUGGCAUGGACUUGGGGUCUGAUGAACUGGGACAAAUGUCACAUCGUAUUCAGCAGCGGCUUUAUGGAAAAAAGAAUGAGGACUGGGGUUCCUAUCGCGGGGAAAGUGUAGAAAGGGAUACGAGGAGAACGCCCUCUCCAAGCCGUCAAAGUAGAUCAUCUUCAAGCAGAUCCAACAUGAGCCCACUCACUCAAGACUAUUUAAAGAAUAAAGACUGUUAUAGUGCUGAGAGUGACGUAACCGAUCACAUUCAAGCUGGUGACUUUUGCCAGAACAGCAGCAGCAGCAGUUCUUUACUAGACGAUAGGAAAUGUGUAAACAGCUCUCAGGAAAACUCUGCAGCAUCACAAGCAUUUUCUCCAAGUCCUGCAUACACUGUGUCAGAAGCACCUGUCACACCUGUGGUGCCAUCAUACUCUCCGUUCCCACCAAUGACUCCAGCUCUGCCUCCAGUUCUACCUAAUUUGCCCCCUCAUAUUGCCAUUGGCAUAUCUAGGCUUCUGUUGCCUCACCUACCCCCCAUCUUCCCGUACCCCCGUAUCCCACCUCUAAACUUAUUGCCAGGAGUCCUCAAUCCAACUCGGCACCUGCUCCCCCAGCAGAUCAGUAAUAUUCGGUCUCCCCUCUUUAACCUGCCAGUCCCAACACAGCCUGUGAAUGCAACACAAAAGUCCAAAACACUAUCACGGCCGCGGUGUUUGCAGGUUAUUGAAACCAAUCAAACUGGAUGA